CGAAGGGCAAGCGCACGGCCUCCAGCAGCUGUGGCCAGUGCGCGGCUCGGCGCGGCAGGUCGGCCCGCACCCAGCGCAGGGCCAGCUGGUAGGCGGCCUCCUCCUUGGGCACGCAGAGUCCGUCGUCGCGCAGAUAAAAGACCUAUGCAAUUCUAAAGAAGAGGUGAGAACACCAAUUUAGAAUCUGAGGAUUUGGUUUCAAAACUUAAGCUCUCUGGGCCUCAAGUUUCUUGAGCUUUAAAAUAAAGACAGGGGAUUGGACUGCCAGUUCUGAUUCUAUGACUCCCAAAGACCCUUCUUGUUAACAUGGACUCCAUUUACACAGAAUCUUCUGGCUUCUUCUACAUCAUUUCUCCACAACAAGAGGUUAUGCAGUCUUUUAAAAAUAUUUACCAUCUGUAAACUGUGUAAACUUGCUCAAUAUUUCUUCUAGCAAUGGUCACUAAAAAUAUUAAAAGGAUGGGCCUAUUUACUUACCAAUGAAAGUUAUUUAAUUUC